UACGAAGGGGGCUAGCGUUGCUCGGAAUCACUGGGCAUAAAGGGUGCGUAGGCGGGUCUUUAAGUCAGGGGUGAAAUCCUGGAGCUCAACUCCAGAACUGCCUUUGAUACUGAGGAUCUUGAGUUCGGGAGAGGUGAGUGGAACUGCGAGUGUAGAGGUGAAAUUCGUAGAUAUUCGCAAGAACACCAGUGGCGAAGGCGGCUCACUGGCCCGAUACUGACGCUGAGGCACGAAAGCGUGGGGAGCAAACAGG
rnacentral:rRNA from 1 species